GACGAACGCUGGCGGCGUGCUUAACACAUGCAAGUCGAACGGUAAGGCCCUUCGGGGUACACGAGUGGCGAACGGGUGAGUAACACGUGGGUGAUCUGCCCUGCACUUCGGGAUAAGCCUGGGAAACUGGGUCUAAUACCGGAUAGGACCCUGGGAUGCAUGUCCUGGGGUGGAAAGCUGUUGCGGUGUGGGAUGGGCCCGCGGCCUAUCAGCUUGUUGGUGGGGUGAUGGCCUACCAAGGCGACGACGGGUAGCCGGCCUGAGAGGGUGACCGGCCACACUGGGACUGAGAUACGGCCCAGACUCCUACGGGAGGCAGCAGUGGGGAAUAUUGCACAAUGGGCGCAAGCCUGAUGCAGCGACGCCGCGUGAGGGAUGACGGCCUUCGGGUUGUAAACCUCUUUCAGCACCGACGAAGCGCAAGUGACGGUAGGUGCAGAAGAAGGACCGGCCAACUACGUGCCAGCUGCCGCAGUAA
rnacentral:rRNA from 1 species